rnacentral:rRNA from 1 species
UGGCGGCAGGCUUAACACAUGCAAGUCGCGCGCCCCGCAAGGGGAGCGGCAGACGGGUGAGUAACGCGUGGGAACGUAACUUUUGGUUCGGAACAACUCCGGGAAACUGGAGCUAAUACCGGAUAAGCCCUAACGGGGAAAGAUUUAUCGCCGAAAGAUCGGCCCGCGUCUGAUUAGCUAGUUGGUGAGGUAACGGCUCACCAAGGCGACGAUCAGUAGCUGGUCUGAGAGGAUGAUCAGCCACACUGGGACUGAGGCACGGCCCAGACUCCUACGGGAGGCAGCAGUGGGGAAUAUUGGACAAUGGGCGCAAGCCUGAUCCAGCCAUGCCGCGUGAGUGAUGAAGGCCUUAGGGUUGUAAAGCUCUUUUGUCCGGGAAGAUAAUGACUGUACCGGAAGAAUAAGCCCCGGCUAACUUCGUG